UGAAGGAAAGCAAAAUUCUUGGUUAAUGCUUUGUUUCUUAACAACAGUGCAGAAAUAAAAAGCCUGAUUUUGCUUUCUUUGAAACCCAAAGAAGCUGGAUUAGGCAGCGGCCAGACAACCGUAGGGAUGGUAUCCACAGAUGAAGGGCAUUUUCAUCCCUUUUGUCUACUGAUUCCAUCUCACAUUU
rnacentral:snoRNA from 1 species